UACGAAGGGGGCUAGCGUUGUUCGGAAUUACUGGGCGUAAAGGGCGCGUAGGCGGUACUUCAAGUCAGGCGUGAAAGCCCCGGGCUCAACCUGGGAACCGCGCUUGAGACUGGAGAACUAGAGUUCGGGAGAGGAUGGUGGAAUUCCCAGUGUAGAGGUGAAAUUCGUAGAUAUUGGGAAGAACACCGAUGGCGAAGGCAGCCAUCUGGAUCGACACUGACGCUGAGGCGCGAAAGCGUGGGGAGCGAACAGG
rnacentral:rRNA from 1 species